ACCCCGGGGUGGUGUAUGUGACCAACCGAGUGAAGGCCUCUAGGUAAAUAUGUAAGAUUCUGGUGGGCAGGUGCAGAGGUCUACUCCAGUUGCCUGUGCUCAGGACAUGCCCCGGAUGGAACCUCCCUGGCUUAUUAAACCCGCCACCUACCAACCUGGGGUGGCUGCCUCCUUCUUCCGUCUGUCCCUGCCCCCUGUGUAUGGGGGCCAGUUUCAGAUUACACCAGCGAAGCGCCUGGGGUUGCGAAAACAUUUCCACCACCACCCCACAUCCACGUGAAACACGGAGUGCAGACGAAUAAAGAGAACAAAAGGAUUCUGUCAUUCUGUGUCAGUCUUCAAAUACGUGAAGAGCGUUCACCCUCAGGAGCAUGACAGGCGCCAUGUUCACCACCCGAAGAUGUGGCAAAGGGAGAGCACUCACGAGCACGGUUCCUAUGAAUGGAUGGGUUUUCCCAAGCUCCUCUCCUGAUGUUUGCUUCCCCUGAGGAUGAUAAUUUGGUGGCCAUGUCCUUGUUGUUGAGAAAGCUGAGCAUGAGGGAAGGCCAUAGAAGGCAAAUGGGGAGCAGCACCUUUGUUCAGUCUUUCUCAAAUUGUCACUAACAUGC